AUUGAACGCUGGCGGCAGGCCUAACACAUGCAAGUCGAGCGGAGCGGCGGACGGGUGAGUAAUGCCUAGGAAUCUGCCUGGUAGUGGGGGCGAACGUCCGGAAACGGGCGCUCAUACCGCAUACUAUCAGAUGAGCCUAGGUCGGGUUAGGUAGUUGGUGGGGUAAAGGCCUCACAAGGCGACGAUCCGUAACUGGUCUGAGAGGAUGAUCAGUAAAACUGGAACUGCGACACGUGCCAGACUCCUACGGGAGGCAGCAGUGGGGAAUAGUGGACAAUGGGCGAAAGCCUGAUCCAGCCAUGCCGCGUGUGUGAAGAAGGUCUUCGGAUUGUAAAGCACUUUAAGUUGGGAAGCGUUACCAACAGAAUAAGCACCGGCUAAAUUCGUGCCAGCAGCCGCGGUAAUUC
rnacentral:rRNA from 1 species